rnacentral:misc_RNA from 1 species
CAGUUUUUACAGCCAGUAUAAAUAUUAAGUGCUACAAAAAUGCCUCCACUCUACGUAUAUCAAAGGACUAUGAAUUAUUUGAAAUUUGUGAUAUUCCCAUGUUAUUAUCCCACCUAGAAGAUUUUUUAACAAAGAUGAAUAUUUUUCAGGGAGUAAGUGGCCCUUUAGAGUUAAAAAAAACUACUGUUAGUAAUUAAGAUGUAAAAGACAAUAUGGACUCCACUGAAAUCCAACUCAUUAUUAUAAAAAACAGAUGUUGAAGUGUGUUGUUAACAUGUUAUAGCAGUUUACAUACAUCUUCAUUUUAUGCCUGUUACCCAUUCAUCAUUGUUUAAUGUCAUGUGUAGCAAUAAAUAUUAAUUCAU